UACGGAGGGGACUAGCGUUGUUCGGAAUUACUGGGCGUAAAGCGCACGUAGGCGGACUUGUAAGUCAGGGGUGAAAUCCCGGGGCUCAACCUCGGAACUGCCUUUGAUACUGCAAAUCUCGAGUCCGGAAGAGGUGAGUGGAAUUCCUAGUGUAGAGGUGAAAUUCGUAGAUAUUAGGAAGAACACCAGUGGCGAAGGCGGCUCACUGGUCCGGUACUGACGCUGAGGUGCGAAAGCGUGGGGAGCAAACAGG
rnacentral:rRNA from 1 species